CCUACGGGGGCAGCAGUCGAGAAUCAUUCGCAAUGGGCGAAAGCCUGACGGUGCGACGCCGCGUGGAGGAUGAAGGUCCUAGGAUUGUAAACUCCUGUCAUCAGGGAGUAAAGCUCAAGCGUUAAUAGCGCUUUGAGCCUGAUAGUACCUGAAGAGGAAGGGGCGGCUAACUCCGUGCCAGCAGCCGCGGUAACACGGAGGCCUCAAGCGUUGUUCGGAAGUACUGGGCGUAAAGGGUGCGUAGGCGGCGAGGUAAGUCAGAGGUGAAAGCCCGGGGCUCAACCCCGGAAGUGCAUCCGAUACUG
rnacentral:rRNA from 1 species